rnacentral:rRNA from 1 species
UGGGCGUUAAGUUGCAGGGUAUAGACCCGAAACCCGGUGAUCUAGCCAUGGGCAGGUUGAAGGUUGGGUAACACUAACUGGAGGACCGAACCGACUAAUGUUGAAAAAUUAGCGGAUGACCUGUGGCUGGGGGUGAAAGGCCAAUCAAACCGGGAGAUAGCUGGUUCUCCCCGAAAGCUAUUUAGGUAGCGCCUCGUGAACUCAUCUCCGGGGGUAGAGCACUGUUUCGGCUAGGGGGCCAUCCCGGCUUACCAACCCGAUGCAAACUGCGAAUACCGGAGAAUGUUAUCACGGGAGACACACGGCGGGUGCUAACGUCCGUCGUGAAGAGGGAAACAACCCAGACCGCCAGCUAAGGUCCCAAAGUCAUGGUUAAGUGGGAAACGAUGUGGGAAGGCCCAGACAGCCAGGAUGUUGGCUUAGAAGCAGCCAUCAUUUAAAGAAAGCGUAAUAGCUCACUGGUCGAGUCGGCCUGCGCGGAAGAUGUAACGGGGCUAAACCAUGCACCGAAGCUGCGGCAGCGACACUUUAGUGUUGUUGGGUAGGGGAGCGUUCUGUAAGCCGUUGAAGGUGUCCUGUGAGGGGUGCUGGAGGUAUCAGAAGUGCGAAUGCUGACAUAAGUAACGAUAAAGCGGGUGAAAAGCCCGCUCGCCGGAAGACCAAGGGUUCCUGUCCAACGUUAAUCGGGGCAGGGUGAGUCGACCCCUAAGGCGAGGCCGAAAGGCGUAGUCGAUGGGAAACGGGUUAAUAUUCCCGUACUUGGUGUUACUGCGAAGGGGGGACGGAGAAGGCUAUGUUGGCCGGGCGACGGUUGUCCCGGUUUAAGCGUGUAGGUGUGUGUUCCAGGUAAAUCCGGUUCACUUUAACACUGAGGCGUGAUGACGAGGCACCACGGUGCUGAAGCAACAAAUGCCCUGCUUCCAGGAAAAGCCUCUAAGCAUCAGGUAACAUCAAAUCGUACCCCAAACCGACACAGGUGGUCAGGUAGAGAAUACCAAGGCGCUUGAGAGAACUCGGGUGAAGGAACUAGGCAAAAUGGUGCCGUAACUUCGGGAGAAGGCACGCUGACAC